GGUUGUAAACCGCUUUUGUCAGGGAAGAAAAGGUUCUCUCUAAUACAGAGGGCUCAUGACGGUACCUGAAGAAUAAGCACCGGCUAACUACGUGCCAGCAGCCGCGGUAAUACGUAGGGUGCAAGCGUUAAUCGGAAUUACUGGGCGUAAAGCGUGCGCAGGCGGUUAUGCAAGACAGAGGUGAAAUCCCCGGGCUCAACCUGGGAACUGCCUUUGUGACUGCAUAGCUAGAGUACGGUAGAGGGGGAUGGAAUUCCGCGUGUAGCAGUGAAAUGCGUAGAUAUGCGGAGGAACACCGAUGGCGAAGGCAAUCCCCUGGACCUGUACUGACGCUCAUGCACGAAAGCGUGGGGAGCAAACAGGAUUAGAUACCCUGGUAGUCCACGCCCUAAACGAUGUCAACUGGUUGUUGGGAGGGUUUCUUCUCAGUAACGUAGCUAA
rnacentral:rRNA from 1 species